rnacentral:rRNA from 1 species
GCUUUAUAAUUUUUAUUUUAUAAUUUAUAAAGAAUAAUUAAAAUUUUAUUGUUAAAAUUAUUUUGUUGGGGUGACAAUAAGAUUUAAAAAACUCUUAUUAUUUUUUUUACAUUGAUUUAUGAAUUAUUGAUCCAUUUUUAAUGAUUAAAAAAUUAAGU